CUCAGAGAAGACACAUCAACUCACCAACUGCCUGUGUCAUCAGUCAGUGAAGCUCAUCCUCCAAGUCAGGUGACACAUCCCCUCCUCAGGGUCCGAGUAGGCAGGCAUGGCAGACGGCCGGCAACCAGAUGAGCACUGGGCCUCCCACGGCCAGGAGAAUGGUGAGAAUGGCUACUCAGCCUACAGUUCUGCCUACAGGGAGAAUGGAUAUCACGGUGGAGCAGCUCCCCAUCCUGGAACUACAGUGGAUGACUCAGCCAAUUUGCCUCCCUCCCCUCCCCCUUCUCCAUCCGCUGAGCAGAUUGGGCCCGUGGCACAAGGUACACCUUCACACACACUCAUGAGUGCUCCAGACCACAUUCAGAAUGGGAGUUUGAAUGGUCAUGAAAGUGACAAUAAAACACCAUACACACGUGUCUUGGUAAUAAUCUCUUGAAUCCUCUUUCUUAUAGUUCCAUAGCGUCUAACUAACUGAAAUUCCUGUUGCUUUGCAUGCCAGUUUACUGCCACAUCAGUCUGCAGCAGCAUGUGCUACACUGUCAUGUACACUGUCUGCCCUUUUUAAACGCUGGUCCGUUUUAUCUGUACCAGUAUUUUGUAAUAUACACCAGUACAUUAUGCAUAUAAAACACAGACAACCACACAAACACUAUUUAUCUUUUCAGUGCAGUUGCCACAAGAGCCCUUCACCUCAUUAGUCUGCUUCCCCCUCUCCACUCCUCGCUGUUCUUCCUCAGCUCGUUUGUAAUGUACAGUAAAUCACAGAUUGCCUUUGAGCUAUUUUCCAAUCUUUUUUUAUUUGGCAUGCAAUCCCUGAGGGGAAUAGAAUCAUAUAUAGUCACCCCAUUGCAUGGCUUAGAGUUUCAAUUGCUUCUUACAGAGCUGAGAAAAACAACUCUUGGGUUAAUUAAUAUGUUUAUUUUUGUUCUACACAAAGUAAUCUACUUGAGAGCAUGGCAACCCAUGCUUUUGCGACAUUCAUAAUUUUAGUAAGUAAAAUACCAAGUUAAUCACCAAGACUAGGCUACAAAGUGUGCUGAUUGCGUCCCAUUCAUCUUCAUUGGAGCUGAAAUUGUCUUGUAAUCCAUGUAACCCCAGUUUGCUGUUCCCCACGUGUCAUCCAUGUGUCUCUCCUGCCUACUCAAGAAGAUCAAAUAGAAGUUGUGAGUCAACAGCAGGAUGAGGAGGUGGCUCCAGAGGAGCCAAGCACUUACCAGAAGGAAGUCGUAUAUAAGCAGCCAGGAAUCUUGCGUCUAGAACAGACAGAUUAUUUGUCAGAGCCCCAGACCACACCUGAGCUUCUUAAUGGAGGAGGUCAUCAGGGUGAACACAGUAUGUCACAAAAAGGUGUGUGUGGUUCUAGAUAUAUUUGCGUGUGUGCAAACAUUUCUUCUGCGAAUAAUGAGUGAAUGAGUCUGUGCAUUGUCUUUUUUGCAUGAUCCUCUUGUGCUUCAUUGUGGGGCACAAAUACUUUAUGCUGUUGAUUUAUGGAAUUGUUUUGCAACUCAGGCUUUUUGCUGCGAACCUUCCUGUAGCUUUGUUGCAAAUAAAUCCCCAAGCUUCUGCUUCA
ensembl:lncRNA